rnacentral:lncRNA from 1 species
AUGUGUGUGUGCACUCUGAUUCUCUCUUUAUGUGUAUGUGUGCGUGUUUCCUCUCACUUUUCAGCCAUUUGUUCAUUCUUCUCUGUAUACACGCAGGACGCGCAUAGGUAUAUAUAUAUAUGUACGUAUAUAUACUAUAAUAUAUGUAUGUAUGUGUAAGAAUAUAUUUAUAUAUAUGUUGACCACGACUGAAUAAUAAGGCCAUUACAAUAUUUUACUGAGCUUGAAAAAUAUUGCAAUAAGCAGUGAUGGCCGACGAUUUUGAUGUUGAAGCUAUGCUGGAAGCUCCUUAUAGGAAAGAAGAUGACGUCGUCAAAACUGAUGGAAGAGCUGACAAAGAGAGAAGACGUCGGAAGAGCCGAAGUUCUAGCCGCAGUCGGAGUACAAGUCCUGUAAAGCACCGAAGG